GGAGAGGCCCCCGCCCCGGGGUCAGCCCGCCUCCCACAGGCCUCUGCGCGCUUCCGGCCCCCGGGCGGCGCUGUCCGGCCCGGCCCGGCCCGCCCGCGCGGUUCGCGCCUCUGCCGUGUCUCCUCAACUGGCACGUUUGAGGACCAGGCCUUGAGAGAGCAAGAUGGCGGAACUGCGGUCAGGGGCUGCCGCUGCGUCUGCUUUGGCGGGAGAAGUGUUGAACUAUAUCCACUUCCUCGUUUCCUGUUCUACUCUCAGCAUUCGCCUCUGCUUUCUGAGGGACUAAGACUUGGCUCAACUCAGAGAGUAUUCAUGAACACAAAGAAUCCUUCAUGGUCUGAAGAAUCGUGAUAGAGUGAAAUACAGGCUAGUGGAAGAUUAUGGAGAGUCCGGGUAAGGAAAACCACUACAUUCUGCCUUGUAGUGUCAGAUGGCUGAUGGUUGGACUGAGAAAUGAUCUCCAUCCUUUCCACACUCCGUAAAUGAGGUCAACUGGCUGUCAGGUAGGUCUCUUGUCCCUCCUCUUUAGUCCCCUCCCCUCAUCUCAUUUUUCUCAUUGCCAUGUCUCUUUUAGUAUGACUACCCCUGGCAAUGACAUUUUGGACAAUGAAGUGUGCUGUUGAAAUGUAUUCUGGCUUAAUAGGAAUUUCUUCUAUAAUUCAUUCAACUUCUCAACCUGACUUCAUGAUCCACCAUAAUCCAUUAAAAUGAGAAAACUGGCACAUAGACCGGUUCAAUGUUUUAGUCCCAAAAUUAGUGACCAGAAUUCAGUUCUCUCACUUUCUAACAUGACUCCCUUUCUAUGUAAUGCCCAGACUUCAAUCAAAUGAACUAUAUGUAUUUUGUUGGAGACAGUUAUUUUCAGAGAAGGGCCUUAUCUUCAGCUCUGUUGUUCAGCAUGGCCAUGGUUUUCCUGUCAGUCCUAGUACUCUUUGAGGCAAAACAGCAUUGAUUGUGACAGUGAAGACACAGCCUGAUGACUGAGUUUGAGGCUGUUCAUUUAGAUCUGAGAAAGCCUUUUGUCACAGGGCUACACUUUGCUGGGGUCCUUUGCCCUUUUGACAAUGACUUUCUUCUAAGUCACUAAGUUUGAAGUUAAAGUUGGUUGAGAAGUUUAAAGAGGAGGGUACUGGAGGUUUGUAUAUUUUAAGAUAGAGUGCUGUGUAUUUGACAUAUGCAUUGAUAGAAGAUUGAAUAUCUCAGAAUUAUGUACAGUGCUAUUGCUUCUUAGAGCAUUUAAUGUGUAUGUGUUUAGUAAAACUUUUUACUAAGAUUAUUUUCAUUUUAAUCAAUUUUGUUGAACAUUUUGGAAAGAAAUCCACAUCCAACUGAAUUAAUCCAAGACAUAUUAUUUAUUUCCCCUUACAAACAUUACUUUAAAGUUUA
rnacentral:lncRNA from 1 species